CGAUGAACGUCGAUCCCGCACAUGCCUCUUCCGCUGCCAUCUGAAAAAUUUUUGAAAUAUCAGCGGCAUGGGCGGGUUCCCAACAGUCGAAUCAUUGGUUUUAUCGGCCAGCCAUCUCUGGAUACCUGCUGGCUGCUGUUCGACCGAAUCAGCCAAGGAAUGAGGUUCUUCUUGCAAACCUGAUUCAGAAGAUUCUUGGUUUAAUGGGGCUGCAAUUUCCUCCAUAACAUCUUCUUCGUGCUGUGUUUCAUCUAGAGACAAUUUGGCUGGGGUUGGAGAGAUGCAAUUUCUCUCCAUUUCAUCAGUUUUGGAGUUUGGACUCUUUUCUUCUGGCUUUUUAAAUAACCGGUAAAGAACAUAACCACCCUGAAGAAAAUAAAAAUCACAAAGUGAAUUGACGAACAACAAAUGUAAACACCAAGUUAGGGCACGAUGAAUAGCUGCAUAGCCAUUAGGCAAUAUAAAUGCAGACAGACUGUAUACAAAAAAGUCUCAAUCAUCAUACAUUAAUAGGAGUAAGGGUCAGA
rnacentral:lncRNA from 1 species